AUACUCUGGUUUCUCUUCAGAUGGUAUAAAUGUUUCUCCUUUUACUAAAGUUUUCCAUGGACAGGAACAGGCACAAGUGUUGAGGAAUUCUUUGAGGCUCCAUCUUUUUUGAGGGGA
rfam:Egretta garzetta contig43400, whole genome shotgun sequence.